rnacentral:rRNA from 1 species
AGAGUUUGAUUCUGGCUCAGAACGAACGCUGGCGGCGUGGAUAAGACAUGCAAGUCGAACGCUAACUUCAGGGUAGCAAUAUUCUGAAGUUGGAGUGGCGCAAGGGUGCGUAACACGUGGGCAAUUUGCCAUAAAGUUGGGGAUAACUUGCUGAAAGGCGAGCUAAUACCGAAUGUGACUGUGGGGAGGCAUCUUCCGGCAGUUAAAGUUGGGGACCGCAAGGCCUGACGCUUUAUGAUGAGCCCGCGGCCUAUCAGCUAGUUGGUGAGGUAACGGCCCACCAAGGCUAAGACGGGUAGCUGGUCUGAGAGGACGACCAGCCACACUGGAACUGAGACACGGUCCAGACACCUACGGGUGGCAGCAGUCGAGAAUUUUUCUCAAUGGGCGAAAGCUUGAAGGAGCGACGCCGCGUGGGGGAUGAAGGGCUUCGGCCUGUAAACCCCUGUCAUUUGCGAACAAACCUGCUCAUCUAACACAUGGGCAGCUGAUUGUAGUGAAAGAGGAAGGGACGGCUAACUCUGUGCCAGCAGCCGCGGUAAUACAGAGGUCCCAAGCGUUGUUCGGAUUCACUGGGCGUAAAGGGUGCGUAGGUGGCGGAACAAGUUCGAUGUGAAAUCCCCGGGCUAACCCGGAAAAGGCAUUGAAAACUGUUUCGCUAGAGGGUCGGAGGGGAGACUGGAAUUCUCGGUGUAGCAGUGAAAUGCGUAGAUAUCGAGAGUACACCAGUGGCGAAGGCGAGUCUCUGGACGACUCCUGACACUGAGGCACGAAAGCUAGGGGAUCAAACAGGAUUAGAUACCCUGGUAGUCCUAGCUGUAAACGGUGCACAUUUGCUGUAAGAGCAUUCGACCCCUUUUGUGGCGAAGCUAACGCGUUAAAUGUGCCGCCUGGGAAGUACGGUCGCAAGAUUAAAACUCAAAGAAAUUGACGGGGGCCUGCACAAGCGGUGGAGUAUGUGGCUUAAUUCGAUGCAACGCGAAGAACCUUACCUGGCCUUGACAUGCAAGUGGUAAAAGGAUGAAAGUUCGAUGACCCCGCAAGGGGAGCUUGCACAGGUGCUGCAUGGCCGUCGUCAGCUCGUGUCGUGAGAUGUUGGGUUAAGUCCCGCAACGAGCGCAACCCCUGUGUCCUGUUGCCACCCGAACGAGAGUUCGGAGCACUCUGGACAGACUGCCUCGCUUUAACGAGGAGGAAGGUGGGGAUGACGUCAAGUCAGGAUGGCCCUUACGGCCAGGGCUGCACAC